AUUGAACGCUGGCGGCAUGCUUUACACAUGCAAGUCGAACGGUAACAGGGUGCUUGCACCGCUGACGAGUGGCGAACGGGUGAGUAAUGCGUCGGAACGUGCCGAGUAGUGGGGGAUAACGCUGCGAAAGUUGUGCUAAUACCGCAUACGUACUGAGGUAGAAAGUGGGGGACCUUCGGGCCUCACGCUAUUCGAGCGGCCGACGUCUGAUUAGCUAGUAGGUGAGGUAAAGGCUCACCUAGGCGACGAUCAGUAACGGGUCUGAGAGGAUGAUCCGCCACACUGGGACUGAGACACGGCCCAGACUCCUACGGGAGGCAGCAGUGGGGAAUUUUGGACAAUGGGCGAAAGCCUGAUCCAGCCAUGCCGCGUGUCUGAAGAAGGCCUUCGGGUUGUAAAGGACUUUUGUCAGGGAGGAAAUCCCUAGUGCUAAUAACACUGGGGGAUGACAGUACCUGAAGAAUAAGCACCGGCUAACUACGUGCCAGCAGCCGCGGUAA
rnacentral:rRNA from 1 species